GAUGAAGAACGUAGUGAAAUGCGAUACUUGGUGUGAAUUGCAGAAUCCCGUGAACCAUCGAGUCUUUGAACGCAAGUUGCGCCCGAAGCCAUUAGGCCGAGGGCACGCCUGCCUGGGCGUCACACGUCGUUGCCCCCCCAUCUACUCCUUCGGGAUUGCGGGGGGCGGAUGAUGGCCUCCCGUGCGCCUCGUCGCGCGGUUGGCAUAAAUGCCAAGUCCUCGGCGACGCACGCCACGACAAUCGGUGGUUGCGAAACUUCGGUUGCCCGUCGUGUGCGGUCGUCGCGCAUCGAGGGCUCGAAAAAAUUGUCGGGCUCCGGCUCGGCUUUCAACGCGACCCCAGGUCAGGCGGGGUUACCCGCUGAAUUUAAGCAUAUCAAUAAGCGGAGGA
rnacentral:misc_RNA from 1 species